UACGGAGGGUGCAAGCGUUAUCCGGAUUUACUGGGUUUAAAGGGUGCGUAGGUGGGCAGGUAAGUCAGUGGUGAAAUCUCCGGGCUUAACUCGGAACUGCCGUUGAUACUAUCUAUCUUGAAUAUCGUGGAGGUUAGCGGAAUAUGUCAUGUAGCGGUGAAAUGCUUAGAUAUGACAUAGAACACCCAUUGCGAAGGCAGCUAACUACGCGAAUAUUGACGCUGAGGCACGAAAGCGUGGGGAUCAAACAGG
rnacentral:rRNA from 1 species